rnacentral:ncRNA from 2 species
CUUAUUAAGAGCGGGGUAGGGAAUGGGCCCGAUGAUCCCGCGGCAACCACACCGGCAAAGGGUGUCAGGUGCCAAUUCCCACGGGUAUCCAUCCCGGAAGAUGAGG